rnacentral:lncRNA from 1 species
UAAUAUGAUUACUUAGGUCUAGUUAAAAAGUAUUCACCAUCUCCCACGUAUAUCAAAUGGCAAAAGUGUUCCCAUAAAACCAAUAAUUUGAAGGAAUGAACAUGCGAAGAGAAAUUAGUUCAAUGAUUAUCUUGUUCCAAUGCAACAUCUGAAAUAACUAACAGUCACAAGUUCGCCGUCAAGACAUCAUCAAGUUCCUUAGAAUGUAAAGAUAAUGAGAACUCAAUCACUUGAAAAGAAUUUUAAGGGCAAAAGAAUUGUGUAGUCAACUCUCUUCGGAUCCCUAUGAAAGUUACACAAUCACGUACAAAAUCAACAAUCCACCAUCCUACAACUACUAACUUCUCCUAAGGUUACACUCUUCGAGAAGAAUGUCUUCUAACAAGUAAGCUAGUACUAUAUGCAUUUCGUGUUUACAAUCAUUUCUACAGUGAAACAACAUAUAAGCUUACAAGAUAGACGGCUUCAAUAAGUUCUGUGCAUAUGCUGCAAAUUUUCAUGCAUCCUAAACUUGGGUUUUCUCAGGUUGCCGAGAAACUUCCUUAUCAGCAAAGUGAAGGAGCCUUCGAAGCCUUAAUACCAUGUCACAAUGAAAAGGUAAAGGGAUUUGAUUUUAGCUGGAUUGAAUAACAAUGGGUUUUCUCAGGUUGCCGAGAAACUUCCUUAUCAGCAAAGUGAAGGAGCCUUCGAAGCCUUAAUACCAUGUCACAAUGAAAAGGCAAAGCAGAUCUUCUCUCCAAGUAUGCUGGACUUACAGUCAUCCAUGAUAAAGCAUGGAGCUCUGCAGCUAUGUUCUCGAGAAUCAAGUGAGUCUCUAUUUCAACGUCUCUUGUUUCUGAGCCUGUACCCCUUCCCCCA